GCUUACGGCCAUACCACCUUAGGCACGCCCGAUCUCGUCUGAUCUCGGAAGCUAAGCAGGGUCGGGCCUGGUUUGUACUUGGAUGGGUGACCGUCUGGGAAUACCAGGUGCUGUAAGCA
rnacentral:rRNA from 1 species